rnacentral:sRNA from 1 species
UGGUAGAUGCACCCUGAUAACUCACUACCCCGGUUGGUUCAUUCUGGCUGGGGAUUUUUUCG